rnacentral:rRNA from 1 species
UACGUAGGGUGCGAGCGUUAAUCGGAAUUACUGGGCGUAAAGCGUGCGCAGGCGGUAAGUUAAGUCUGAUGUGAAAGCCCCGGGCUCAACCUGGGAAUGGCAUUGGAAACUGGCUUGCUAGAGUGUGGCAGAGGGGGGUGGAAUUCCGCGUGUAGCAGUGAAAUGCGUAGAGAUACGGAGGAACACCGAUGGCGAAGGCAGCCCCCUGGGCCGACACUGACGCUCAGGCACGAAAGCGUGGGUAGCAAACAGG